rnacentral:rRNA from 1 species
UACGAACCGUCCAAACGUUAUUCGGAAUCACUGGGCUUAAAGGGUGCGUAGGCGGUCCGGUAAGUUGGGUGUGAAAUCCCACGGCUCAACCGUGGAAUUGCGCUCAAGACUGCCGGACUUGAGGGAGAUAGAGGUGAGCGGAACUUCGGGUGGAGCGGUGAAAUGCGUUGAUAUCCGAAGGAACACCGGUGGCGAAAGCGGCUCACUGGGUCUUUUCUGACGCUGAGGCACGAAAGCUAGGGGAGCGAACGGG